ACUCCUACGGGAGGCAGCAGUGGGGAAUUUUGGACAAUGGGCGCAAGCCUGAUCCAGCCAUGCCGCGUGAGUGAAGAAGGCCUUCGGGUUGUAAAGCUCUUUCGGCAGGAACGAAAUGGUCCGUGCUAAUACCACGGACUGAUGACGGUACCUGAAGAAGCACCGGCUAACUACGUGCCAGCAGCCGCGGUAAUACGUAGGGUGCAGGCGUUAAUCGGAAUUACUGGGCGUAAAGCGUGCGCAGGCGGUUUCUUAAGUCAGAUGUGAAAGCCCCGGGCUUAACCUGGGAACUGCGUUUGAAACUGGGAGACUUGAGUGUGGCAGAGGGGGGUGGAAUUCCACGUGUAGCGGUGAAAUGCGUAGAUAUGUGGAGGAACACCGAUGGCGAAGGCAGCCCCCUGGGUUAACACUGACGCUCAUGCACGAAAGCGUGGGGAGCAAACAGGAUUAGAUACCCUGGUAGUCCACGCCCUAAACUAUGUCAACUGGUUGUCGGGGGAUUAACUCCCUUGGUAACGAAGCUAACGCGUGAAGUUGACCGCCUGGGGAGUACGGCCGCAAGGUUAAAACUCAAAGGAAUUGACGGGGACCCGCACAAGCGGUGGAUUAUGUGGAUUAAUUCGAUGCAACGCGAAAAACCUUACCUACCCUUGACAUGUACGGAAUCUCCCAGAGAUGGGAGAGUGCCCGAAAGGGAGCCGUAACACAGGUGCUGCAUGGCUGUCGUCAGCUCGUGUCGUGGGAUGUUGGGUUAAGUCCCGCAACGAGCGCAACCCUUGUCAUUAGUUGCUACAUUUAGUUGGGCACUCUAAUGAGACUGCCGGUGACAAACCGGAGGAAGGUGGGGAUGACGUCAAGUCCUCAUGGCCCUUAUGGGUAGGGCUUCACACGUAAUACAAUGGCCGGUACAGAGGGCUGCCAACCCGCGAGGGGGAGCUAAUCUCAGAAAGCCGGUCGUAGUCCGGAUUGUUCUCUGCAACUCGAGAGCAUGAAGUUGGAAUCGCUAGUAA
rnacentral:rRNA from 1 species